AAGAGGAUGCCUCUGGUUGCCAUUAACAACCAACAAUAAGAGACAGUGAGCUCACAGAGAUGGGGGAGCCCAUCAGAAUAACACAGGAAGAGGUGAUGAACGCCCGGCAUCAUGCUGGGGAUGGAAAACACGGAGGGAAAGACCGAUUCAAGAGCAUCAGGCUGGUAGAAAUGGAGCUAGUUUGAAUACUUCUCCAUGUGACUGAAAGAGACAAUCCAAUAAGACUAACACCAUAUCCUGGAGGUGUCAGGUGGGCCUUCUGGAACAAAGACAGAUGCAGGAGUGGAGGAAGUCAGGUUCUGAGGAGGGAUAGACACAUGAAACCAUGGCCGGAGAUGGACAUGAUGGAAUCAAAGGACAUGGGACUCCAACAUUCACCUUUGCUUUCUUUCUCAACUCUACCCUCCAGCUGUGCCUCAUGACUUGCAGAAUCCCAGUUCCCUGACCAGAGAUUGAACCCGGGCCACAGCAGUGAAAGAAGAGAUCCUGACCACUGGACCGCCAGGGAAUCCCCAGUUUAUCUGUUUUUAAGUCGGGAGAGACUAGAGCAUGUUGUGUGCUCAUGAAAAUAACCCCGUUAAAGAGGAAGGGAUUGAUGAGGAAAGAGUGGGCAGAUAACCGAAGGAACAGGUCCUUGAGAAGAUGAGAAGGAAUGGAAUUCAGGAAACAAGAGAUAGAAUCUUCCUUUCACUGAAGAAACUUGGAUGUGCCUUCCAUUGUGAUAAAGCAAACAUAGGAAUAUUUGUGAAUUUAGUGGUGGGAAGAUGAGGGAGACUCAAGAUAAUUGCAAGAGAGUGAUGCUGUUAUAACCCAUGAAAUCUUGUAUUGGUCGUACUCCUCCACAUUUCAUUUGUUCCCCGAUGCACUCAUCAUUGAUUGAUGAAUCCUUUAUUUUUAUUUAAUUAGUUGUUUGUAGUGAUGUAAUAAGCACCUGCAAAACCACCCGCCAAACUGGAGCCUUGACAAUGACCCACAUCUUUCCCUAUGAUUCCUCCUCCCCCAUGCAUCCCUUGCCUCCCCCAUCCACAGUAACUAUCAUCUUCAAGUCUGUGUACCACAUGCCCUUCGUA